UUCUAUGGCCAUACCACCCUGAACACACCUGAUCUGGUCUGACUAGCUUUUAAAGAAAUUGUUGCAUGCACGAGUCAGCAGUCAUUGAUC
rnacentral:rRNA from 1 species